UUUUUUCUCUUUUCCUUUCGUUUAAUUGGAUUAAAAAUACCCAAACCCUUCUUUCUCUUUCAUUCGCAUAACCCAAAUCACAACCCUUCCUCUGAUUUUUUCGCAAGCAACCAUGAGUCUUCAACCAUGGAUUAUUCCUCUUCUUCCUUGCGUCAAAACCGAACAGCACUACCCACCUUCUUCCUCCAGAAAUUUCGAAAUCUAGGGCAUAAACCCUUUCCUUUUUUUCGCACAAUAGGGCAAAGCAAGCAUUAGUCAUCUUCUACAUUUGGUUUUCGCAAGAGACACCGCAAAUCUUGCUUGCCUUCGUUCCAUUGAACAAAUCAAUGGGUUUCCCUUUCGAUUCUUUGUGUCAAAUUAAGAAUCAAGCCAUGCUCGUCACAAACCCGAUCUUUCUGAGAAACAAGAUGGUGGUGGUCAUUCUUCUUUCCUCUGACUAAUUCUUGAAGCAAACAAUAGCAAGCUCCUUGUUCUUGGUCUCUAGAACCGUAAAUCAAGGUUUGAUCACAGAUCGAAACCGGUCGGGAACGAUGGGUUAGUGGUGUUGAAUAGCGUUCCAAGGAUGCAUAUUGAGCUGAGCACAUGAAAAUCUGUAGUUUUGUAUUAUGUUUUUGGAUAAAUGCUUAUUAGUCUUGGUUGUGUUGGUUAUACUCAAUUCGAAGUGAAUUGUAUGAUUACUUGUGUUUUAGUUAGAUGUUUGGUUUGAGAAUUAGUUGAGUUAGUUACGUUAAAGAGAUGGUGACCCUUUUGCUCAAGUUUUGAAAGUGUGAUUUAAGUUUCUUGGGAAAUGAACCCCGUGAUGACCCUGUUUGCUCAGUCAACGGUGGGUCAGGUUGUUACACCCAAACCUAAUAUACACUCAUAAUAAUCGAAAAGAAGUGAAGAUCACAUAUCAAAAUACAUACUAUCGGCUUGUUUGGUUAGUGGUACUAAAUGGAGGUAAUGAGAAUGAUUUAUAGUGUAAAAUUUUAUCAAAAACUCCAUUUCAUUUACAUGGUAAUGAAACUUUGAUCACAAAAAAGGUUUUUUGUUCACAAAUUUCUAUUACCACCUAAUAGUCUAAUACAACAUGUUCUAAUGGUAAUGUAUUGGAAUGAAUUUUAUGAAGAAAAUGAGAUGAUUGAAGCUUGACAAGCAUGGCCAUCAAGGUAGCCAAGAGAUUUCUCAACCAAAAUUACACUAAUUUUCGCUCCCAUUACCACCGUUUAUUACCACUUAUCAAACAGGCCGUAAAUAUUUUACUAUACAUUGGUUGCAAAACUACCAUAAUAAGGAACUCCAGUCUGUGUAAUCCAAGCAUCUCUAUCAAUCAACUUAGAAGCAGUAAAAAGGUUUAGCUUCAUUAGCCCAAGUCACAGCUUUAAAACUACUCCAAAGAACCCUUGAUUGUGUAUAAGAUCCAGGCCCCCGGUUCCUAAACUCUCGAUAACUCAAUUAAUUAAUCGGAUCCUUAGCCCAACUAAACCAUCCAAGAAGGUUAAUAAUACUAUCCAAAUAUGACUCCAUAACCAUCACCCUUGAAUAACUAAACCAAGACCAAUCAAGAAAUCCUCGAAUCGAAGUCUUAAGUGAA